rnacentral:tRNA from 1 species
GGGGCUAUAGCUCAGUUGGUAGAGUGCCUGCCUUGCAUGCAUAAGGCCCUCGGUUUAAUCCCUGGGCCCUGGGUUCAAUUCCCAUCACCCCCA